AAUAAGCGCAGUCUUAGCACUAUUCAUGUUCAACGUUUGACCGUUCGUCUUAUUUGAAAAAAAGAUUAUGAUUAGUAUUUUUGUUGUUAUUAGAUGAUAAAAUAUGAAUAGUAUUUUAUAUGUGACUAUUUUUUUUAAUAUUUUUUAUAAAUUUUUUAAAUAAGACGGAUGGUUAAAGCGCUAAACACGGAUAUCUAUGGCUGCACUUAUU
rfam:Oryza nivara chromosome 2, whole genome shotgun sequence.